UGAUCUUAUACCGUUAAUGGCAGGGUCCCCAAACUUGGUACAGUUGGACAAUUUAGGAUUAGGAUUAAAAUUCUGAAAAGUGGGUGGGGCCAAAAACAACCAAUCGGAUUUCUUUAAUUGCUUUCAAUGGGAAAAUUGAAAAAUGCAGAAAAUUGAAAAAUGCUGCCAUUAUUGAUGUCAGGGGCUUCAAAAAUAAGAAAUCAGGUCAUAGAUUACUUUGGCUUCAAAAAUAUAAAAAGUGGGCGGAGCCAACAACAACAAAUCAGAUUUUCCCUAUUGACUUCAAUGAGAAACCUUUAAAUUGCUGUCUUUCUCACAGUACUUAAGCCAGAAUACCCAAACUUGGCACCGUAGGUCAUUGGGUGACUCGGGUCAAAAAUUUAUAAAAAGUGGGCGGUGUAUACAACGGCCAAUCAAAUUUCAGCCAUUUGUUAAAAUGGGAAAAAUUCUAACUGCCGCUGCUCUUAGAGUGUUAAUGGCAGGGUUCUCAAACUUGGCACAGUUGGUCACUGGAGGACUGUGACAAUGUAUAUCUCAUUUUGGGGAUGCUAAAAAGUGGGCGGAGCCACAAACAACCAAUCAGAUUUUCCCUAUUGACUUCAAUGAGAAACCUUUAAAAAGCUGUCAUUCUCACAGU